AUAUUGCUUUUGUAUUCAGACUGUGUUUUAGUCUGUCUGGCUUUGGUCUGGGUUUCUAAAUUAGAAUGUGUGUCCUUCAUCUGAUGAACUCCUCUUUUUUCUCGUUAAAUGCUGCCUAAUGGUAAUAACUUUGGCCUUGAGUGACUCCAUUUUUUUUGGCCAACAUUUCUAAACCCACUGGUUCCUGGGAUGUGUGGGUGGGGAGGAAAUAUUAGUUAUGAACAUUGAGCUACUUUCAGCAUCAUUUCACUGUCCAAAUCCAGGAAUCUGUUGUUUGUUUGUUUGUUUUUGUUUUCGAGGUGGAGCAUUGACUCAGGCUUUAAAAACAAGUUUACUAUCUGCCUUAGAUUUUUGCAGCAUCAUUUUUGGAGAUGUUAAAGCCCCAUGAUUUGAAAUUUGUUUUUACCUUUGACAGCAUGAGAGGGCACAUUUGCUUCUUUUUGUGUUAUAGAUCCCUAGGCCUUGGGAGGAAAAAUGGCUGGAACUUGUAUUCUCAGUAUGUAAAACUUCUGGAAAUGAGGUGUGUGCAGCUGCUCCUUGGUUGCUGUGAAUCGCUUGGAGAUCAGACGCAAAAUAGUACCUGUCUUAGUCAUGUUGUAGAGGCCAAGGGCAAUGUCCUAGUUAUUAGUUGUUAGGAAUCCUGUGGCUUUUAUUAGCUAAAAUGCAGCCUGAGGAAGCCAUGUUGGCUCUGGCAUAAAUUUACAUUUUAUGACGAACAGUUCUGUGGAAACAGCUCGAAUAGAUUUUUGCAAGUUUCAUUGAAACAGUUUUGGUGAAUGAGAGCACAGAAACAGUGCUAAAUCUAAAGUGUUAUUGUCUCAUUGAUUAUUGAUCACUGGCUGUGCUUUCAAGCAUUACAGCACCUUGGGGUUGUUUUUGGUUUUGUUUUUUUGCUUUUUAGGGCCACACCUGAGGCAUGUGGAAGUUCCCAGGCUAGGGGUCAAAUUGGAGCUGGAGCUGCUGGCCUGCCACAGCCACAGCUACCACAACACCAGAUCCUUAGCCCACUGAGUGAGGCCGGGGAUCACAUCCGCCUGCUCAUGGAUACUAGUCAGGUUCUUAACCGGCUGAGCUCAACAGGAACUCCAGCACUUUGAAUUAUUACUGAUUUACUGCAGUUGACUAUUUUCUGUAUGUGUUUCUCCACCUCCCAAUUUCAUCAUCUUUUUUUUUUUUUUGGUCUUUUUAGGGCCGCGCUUGUGGCAUAUGGAGGUUCCCAGGCUAGGGGUUGAACCAGAGCUGUAGCCUACGCCACAGCCACAGCAACUUGAGAUCAAGCUGUGUUUGUGACCUACACAAUGCUUGAAGCAACGCCAGAUCCUUAACCUACCGAGUGGGUCCAGGGACUGAACCCACGUCCUCUAGUUGGGUUCGUUAACCACUGAGCCACAAUGAGAACUCCCUCUAGUCAUCUUUUUAAUGAAGCUACUCUUCACAGCUAUGGCCCUUUAACUGAACACAAGAAUAGACUUCUCAUUGAUUUGUCAUCAUUUUAGAUGUAAGGACUGGGCUGCUGGGUUGCGCUGUAUCUGGGAAUCAUAAGCUGUGGUACCUAAUAUUUAUCACAUCAGGUAGUCAAAGAAUACAUAGGCUUCUGAGUUUAUGUUUUUAUGGCUUUUGAAAAAUAAUCUGGGACAAGAAAGAUUAGGUGUAAAAGCUGGAUUUGGGGAUGCAUACUUAUGUUCUUAUUAGAAAAAUUACGUUUGAAAGGAUUUCAUCAUAUAGUUAAAUAUCUUUCUUCUGUUUCCAUCAUUUUCUCUUUCAGGGUUGUGUGCUGCUUAUAGCAGUGAAAGGUCAUUGAUGUAAAAGGUAAAACAUUCAGGUUUAGUUGUAGACGUUCUAGGAUUUUCAGUUUAAAUAAUUGUGGUGUGCUUGUGAUUUUUUAAAUUACUUGUUGGAUCAGUAAGAUUUGCUGCAUAGUUGAGUUUCCAUGAGAGAAAAUGUCUGCAGUUGGAAAAUGAUUUUUUUCCCUUAUGGAAUAGCCUUGGAAUUUUAAUUAAUUCCGUUUCCACACAUGAUAGAAGUCUGUUUCACCAGAGGUUUGACAAUUUAAUUUCAAGAGGGAGGUAGCACCUUCUCCAUUGAGAGAAGAGGGCUGUAGAUUAUUUUCAGACUAUAUAAAGCCUUUGUUGGCAGGAGGGCGGUAAAAUAUGUGUAACAAGAAAGUUAUUUAGCCUGUUUGUCGUUUUUUUGUAUUUGGCUGUGCCUGUGGCAUGUGGAAGUUCCCAGGCCAGGGAUCGAACCUGUGCCACAGCAAAGACCUAAGCCACUGCAGUGACAGUGCUAGAUUCUUAACUGGCUACACCGCAGGAACACGCCAUGUUUCACUGUAUUUAGAGAAACCAAAAAUGCUUUAGUAGAAACUCUCUACUAUGUUCUGUCCCAGAACUCAUUAAGGUGUGUUCAUAAUUCUGCAUUGACAUCAGUUCCCACGUAAUUAUAGGAACUUGUCUGGCUCCUGCAGAGACAUGUGAAUACUCUUAGGUAGCUCCUGGCUCUUCUGCCACGUUGGGGUUCUGUGGCAUAAGAACUGGAUGCCAUUAUGCCACUGUGGUAAUGAAAUCCUGCUUCCCCAUGCUGUGCUGCCUUUUCUCUUUUUCUUUUCUUUCUUUCUUUCUUUUUUUUUUUCUUUCUUUCUUUCUUUUUUUUUUUUUUAACGGCACCUGAGACAUGUGGAAGUUCUCAAGCCAGAGAUCAAACCCUAGGCACAGUAGUGAAAAUACCGGGUCCAUAACCUGCUGUGCCACCAGGGAACUCCCCUACUGUACUGCUUUUGAGGAGCAAGGUUGAAGGGCAGGUAGACAGGUAUUCAGAUUACCAUCAGGUGACUUUUAACCCUGGAAGGGUUCCAGGUAGUACUGAGGUCCCUAACUGUGCUCAAGCCAGCAAGAUAUCAGGUACAGUCUGUGGAUUAAUGAAUGAGAUCAUUGAUGGAGCGUGUUUACUUUGGGUGCGAAGCUGGCUUGUUUCGACGUCUUUGGCUUUAUAGGCACAUUAAAUGGAGAAGGAUGGCCUAAAAAUGCCCCAGAUUUCAUCUACCGCUCCUCUGCUCACCUUGUUUUAACUCCCCUGGCUUUUUUUUAGCUAGUUCUCAAAACACAUCAAGCUCACUCCCAUCUCAGGGGGUUUUCACCUUUAUGUUUGUUAAUUAUUUUUGGAAUGCUCUUUCCCCAGAUGUUUGUAGGGCUUAGUCUGCUCACGGGGAGACUUUGUUGGCGGGCCAGCCCCCCAGUCCCCGGCCCUCUCUCUAUCUAAAAGAACCCUACCCUCUACCCUACACUCUCCCUUUAUGAUUCCCUUUUUAUGAUUUCAUUCUUUUUAUCGGUAGUGGAGGUAAUGAGAUUAUAUUUGUUUCCUUGUUGAUCUCUUCCACUAGAAUGUAAGCUCCAAGAUGGGAGAAGGUUGUCUUGUUCAGCCACUGGAACUGGAUCUAUCAGCCUCCUCAUUAUUGACAGUUUGGGACCAGAUAAUUCUGUUGUGCGGGGCCGCCCCGUGCACUGUAGAAUGUUUAGCAGCAUCUUUUUUUUCUGUCCACUGGAUGCUGGUUGCACCCUCUGGUCAUGACAGUCAAAAUGUGUCCAGAAGGAGUUCCCAUUGUGGCUCAGCAGUAACAAACCCAACUGGCAACCAUAAGGACACAGGUUCGAUCCCUGGCCUUGCUCAGUGGGUUAAGGAUUCAGCAUUGCUGUGAGCUAUGGUGUAGGUCGAAGACACAGCUCAGAUCCCGUGCUGCUGUGGCUGUGGCCUAGGCUGGCAGCUGCAGCUCUGAUUCAACCCCUGGCCUGGGAAUUUCCAUGUGCCACAGGUGUGGCCCUAAAAAGCGAAACAAAAAAAAAAAGAGGAGUUCCCGUCGUGGCGCAGUGGUUAAGGAAUCCGACUAGGAACCAUGAGGUUGCGGGUUCGAUCCCUCGCCUCGCUCAGUGGGUUAAGGAUCCGGCGUUGCCGUGAGCUGUGGUGUUGGUUGCAGAUGCGGCUCGGAUCCCAUGUUGCUGUGGCUCUGGCGUAGGCUGGUGUCUACAGCUCCAAUUCGCCCCCUAGCCUGGGAACCUCCAUAUGCCGCAGGAAGCGGGCCUAGAAAUGGCAAAAAGACAAAAAAAAAAA
ensembl:lncRNA